AGAAACUAACAAGGAUUCCCCUAGUAAUGGCGAAUGAAGCGGGAACAGCUCAAAUUUGAAAUCUGCGUCGCCUGCGACGCCGAAUUGUAGUUUGUAGAAGCACUUUCUAGGCGGGUCCGGAGCCGUCCAAGUUGCUUGGAACAGCACGUCAUAGAGGGUGACAACCCCGUCUGUGGCGGAGCCGGCCGCUGACGAUGUGCUUUCGACGAGUCGGGUUGUUUGGGAAUGCAGCCCAAAAUGGGUGGUAAACUCCAUCUAAAGCUAAAUACUGGCACGAGACCGAUAGCGAACAAGUACCGUGAGGGAAAGAUGAAAAGCACUUUGAAAAGAGAGUUAAACAGUACGUGAAACCGUUAAAAGGGAAACGCAUGUGGUCAGCAAUGCGCUUCGCGAGAUUCAGCCGGGCGGUGUGCCGGGCGGGCGGUUAGCGGAUCUGAAUGGACCGCGGCCGCUCGGGUUGGCGCUCCGACCGUCGCACUUCUCGCGAGUGCGCGCCAGCGUCGGUUGGCACUGGGUCUUAAAGUCGCGGGCAAGGUAGGCCGCCUCCUUCGGGAGGGGGCUGUUAUAGGCCUGCGUCGCAUGGCCCGGGGCCGACCGAGGUGUCGCGGCGUGUGCCUCCCCUCGGGGCUGGCUGGGGUCUCGUCUCGCCGACCGGGAGUCGACUUCGGUGGACUGCGUGCAGUGCGCCGAGACUGUUUUCGGUCGCUGGGACGGUGACCUCGCACCACGCGCCAAGGACGCUGGCGAUCAAAUGGCCUCAUUCGACCCGUCUUGAAACACGGACCAAGGAGUCUAACAUGUGCGCGAGUCUUCGAGUGAAGGAAGCUCGCGGGCGCAAUGAAAGUGAAGGCGGCCUCGUGUCGCUGAGGCGAGAGCCCGUCCCCCGGGGCGGGUGCAUCGUCGACCGACCUAUUCUGCUCUCAGGAAGG
rnacentral:rRNA from 2 species